rnacentral:rRNA from 1 species
GUGGGGAAUAUUGGACAAUGGGGGGAACCCUGAUCCAGCCAUGCCGCGUGUGUGAAGAAGGCCUUUUGGUUGUAAAGCACUUUAAGCGAGGAGGAGGCUACCGAGAUUAAUACUCUUGGAUAGUGGACGUUACUCGCAGAAUAAGCACCGGCUAACUCUGUGCCAGCAGCCGCGGUAAUACAGAGGGUGCAAGCGUUAAUCGGAUUUACUGGGCGUAAAGCGCGCGUAGGUGGCCAAUUAAGUCAAAUGUGAAAUCCCCGAGCUUAACUUGGGCAUUGCAGUCGAUACUGGUUGGCUAGAGUAUGGGAGAGGAUGGUAGAAUUCCAGGUGUAGCGGUGAAAUGCGUAGAGAUCUGGAGGAAUACCGAUGGCGAAGGCAGCCAUCUGGCCUAAUACUGACACUGAGGUGCGAAAGCAUGGGGAGCAAACAGGAUUAGAUACCCCGGUAGUCC